AAACAUGAGUUGAGUCAGUGAUUAUGAAAUUGAAGUUUAUGGUUUUCUAAUGGAAGAAAAUUUGUCACAUUCAAAUGGAUACAUUACAGAGCUGUUGUUUAUAGGCUCAAUCAAAGAUACCCUUAUUAUUUCAGCAGUCUUUUUUAAAUUCUCUUUGAAACUGUUCAUCUCAUGAGUUUCUUCAACAAUGCAUUCCCUUCUGCAAUGAACUUU
rnacentral:misc_RNA from 1 species